AGGGUGGGGUGGUUAUCUUCUUCAUGCGAUGUCUUUGUUAGAAACAACAACUGACCAGCGUUUUAUUCUGAAACAACUGAAACCUGGAGAAUAAAACGGUGCGUUCUAGUCCAUGCUCUAAAAGGGCGCUGACACAGAAACCUGGAAACUAUUCUGCAAAAUAAUACACUGAAUGUCCAGUAACAUCGAGAGAAGUAAUUUCAAGAUCAGAGGUCGCAUGGAAAAACCAUUAAAAACAUUCAAGCGCAAACAGCGGCACUGAGUGGAGCAGCACGAAUAUCUGAGCAGAGGGCGCUGCGGGCUACACUGAUUGCUAUGUAAUGUACUGCUACUUCAUUCAUGAAGAACUGAACCUGGACAACAGCAGGACGCUAUUAUCAUCAAUCCUCAGAAGAGACACCGUUGUCCCUACCUAAACCUAAAUACUGAGAUGCCAGCAAGACCACAGAAACCAAGAGUAAGUUACUAUUCUACAUGUGUUUAAAAAUAUGUGGACAACUUUACUCAUUAUUAUUUACUAUUGUAAUUAUUUAAUGGGAUGUACGGAAGAACUUAGUGACUUUGUGUGACGAUUGCGACCCAGUAAGACACAGGGGGAGAGAGAGAGAGAGAGAGAGAGAGAGAGAGAGAGAUCCAAGUGCAGGUAUGUUUUCAUGGGGUAAUCCAAAUCGUAGUCAAAACAAGCCAGGGUCAAAACCAGAAUGCAGCCCAAAAACAAACAAACAAAGAACAGGAAAGGGAACGUAACGGGGAACUCGGAAUACAAGGGGUCUUGGAGGACAAGAAGACAGGAUCACGAAAGGAAAGGACUCCAUACAGACAACAGGAAAGGACUGGUAAAUAUAGGGAGGCUAAUGACAAUUAAGUAAAGGCACCUGGUGCAAUUAG